CACGUAGGCACCAAGCGUUGUCCGGAUUUAUUGGGCGUAAAGAGCUCGUAGGCGGUUCAGUAAGUCGGGUGUGAAAACUUUGGGCUUAACCCAAAGCGUGCAUCCGAUACUGCUGUGACUUGAGUACGGUAGGGGAGCGGGGAAUUCCUAGUGUAGCGGUGAAAUGCGUAGAUAUCGCUUGGAACGCCGAAGGUGAAAACAGACUGCUGGGGUUGCGCCGACGCUGAGACACGAAAGCCAGGGGAGCAAACGGG
rnacentral:rRNA from 1 species